CCUACGGGUGGCAGCAGUGAGGAAUAUUGGUCAAUGGACGAGAGUCUGAACCAGCCAAGUAGCGUGAAGGAUGACUGCCCUAUGGGUUGUAAACUUCUUUUAUAAAGGAAUAAAACGAGGCACGUGUGCCUUUUUGCUUGUACUUUAUGAAUAAGGAUCGGUUAACUUCGUGCCAGCCGCCGCGUUAAUACGGAGGAUCCGAGCGUUAUCCGGAUUUAGUGGGUUUAAAGGGAGCGUAGAUGGGUUGUUAAGUCAGUUGUGAAAGUUUGCGGCUCAACCGUAACAGUGCAAUUGAUACUGGCAGUCUUGAGUACAGUUGAGGUAAGCGGAAUUCGUGGUGUAGCGGUGAAAUGCGUAGAUAUCACGAAGAACCCCGAUGGCGAAGGCAGCUUACUAAACUGUGACUGACAUUGAUGCUCGAAAGUGUGGGUAUCAAACAGGAUUAGAUACCCCAGUAGUC
rnacentral:rRNA from 1 species